UGGGGAAUAUUGCGCAAUGGGGGAAACCCUGACGCAGCAACGCCGCGUGAAGGAUGAAGGUCUUCGGAUUGUAAACUUUUGUCUUAUGGGAAGAUAAUGACGGUACCAUAGGAGGAAGCCACGGCUAACUACGUGCCAGCAGCCGCGGUAAUACGUAGGUGGCAAGCGUUAUCCGGAUUUACUGGGUGUAAAGGGCGUGUAGGCGGGAUUAUAGGUCAGAUGUGAAAUACCAAGGCUCAACCUUGGGGCUGCAUUUGAAACCAUAGUUCUUGAGUGUUGGAGAGGUAAGUGGAAUUCCUAGUGUAGCGGUGAAAUGCGUAGAUAUUAGGAGGAACACCAGUGGCGAAGGCGACUUACUGGACAAUAACUGACGCUGAGGCGCGAAAGCGUGGGGAGCAAACA
rnacentral:rRNA from 1 species